rnacentral:rRNA from 1 species
UACACACCGCCCGUCAAACCACGAAAGCUGUUUGUACCCGAAAUCAUUUUAGCUAACUCGCAAGAGAGGCGGAUGCUGAAGGUAUGAAGGGUGAGUUGGGGUU